rnacentral:lncRNA from 1 species
AAAUAGAGUUGCACUGAGCAUAAUGCCAAUGUAUGCGAUUUACUUCAAAUAAUUAAAAGUAGGAGUGACCUUGGAGAAACACAUAAGGAGCUUUUUACCAACUAUAUACAUUUUUUUUUUCAAUGGAAUGCCUGGAAAGUCAACAGGAAAAUAGGUGACUACUGUCGACCACGCACGAAAUUGAAGGUGUAAAGGCAAAUGCGCCUUUGAAGUGAAGGUUAGUGAGUUUUGAGUAAAAGUUUAUUUAAGAGUGAGUUGAACUAAAUCAUAAUCCAGUUUUCUUACCCUUAGAAUGGUGAAAUGGCCUCCUUUGUAUAGUUGUUUGCUCCGAAGUAGGCCUUAUCAUGUCAAGCGAACGAUGAUGCAUCGGUAUUUGUUCCUCUCAAGUGUUUCCAUAACCCCCAAUUGGCCAAUGAAGACAACACAGAUCAGUCCAUGUUAGCCUCAUGUCUAGCAACUGACUAGAUUGUCUUGUCAAGCCUUUCCAUUGGUGGAUAUGGGCGAGCUUGUUGUCCAAUUGAGGGACAAGCCGCUUAUUUGGUGAGCCGUGCUAUAGUACCGACAUGGAUGAUCGUGGGGCCGACGCAAUACACACACAUGAGGGUCGAGAUUAUUUUAUUCAUGGAGGACCCACGUCGGGAAUGUGAGGGCGCGAGCAACCUCGAGGUCAUCCUUGCGUGGUCGUUUGGCUUUUUCCUAUUUGGUGAUGACUUAACUAAUGUGUGGGUGAUCUUAACAACUUUGCUCUGACCUUGAAGGAUGAUGAAGUGGGCGGUGUUAUUAAGUUAAUAAUCAUGAAUUGGUUCAUGGUGUUUCGAGAUAUUUUUACAAUUUCGAUGUACUGUUUAGCAUUGAUCUCAUAAAUUAUCUUGAUCAUAUGGUAGACCAUCGAUGGAUCUAGCAACCGACGAGGUCUCGUGGUUGCUCGUACUGGCUCCGCUGCCAGACAAACGAGAAGUUCUUAAAGACUAGAUACUGGAGUUUCGAGAAAUGGAUAGUUACUUAUUUCAGUAAGUAGAACUUUUAGUUGAAGAAAUCCUCCUUCAUCUAGUUCCCAUUUUGGGCCAAGAAUGUUUCUUGUUUGAGUUUAGGGCUGGACAAAACUUUCGAACCGAAUCGAGCGGUUCUUCUUAAGUUAAAUACUCGAAUGGGUGUCUGAAUCGAGGAUCGACAUAUUUAGUUCGGUUCUCGAUUCUAAAUCAAGAAUCGAAGAACCGAAUAUUCCAAUUUUUUUUAAUUAAUUUAUUCUAAAUAAGCGAAAUUAUUUUAUUUUUUAAAAUAAAUUUGUUAACUAGUUAAU